AGUGAACGCUGGCGGCGUGCUUAACACAUGCAAGUCGAACGGAUGAAAUAAGCUUGCUUAUUUCGUUAGUGGCGCACGGGUGAGUAAUGUAUAGCUAACCUGCCCUUUAGUGGGGGACAACAGAUGGAAACGUCUGCUAAUACCCCAUACUCCUGCGUAUCAUAAGAUAUGUUGGGAAAGAUUUAUUGCUAAAGGAUGGGGCUUUAUGGUAUCAGCUAGUUGGUGGGGUAACGGCCUACCAAGGCAAUGACGCCUACCUGGUCUGAGAGGAUGAUCAGGCACACUGGAACUGAGACACGGUCCAGACUCCUACGGGAGGCAGCAGUGGGGAAUAUUGCACAAUGGGGGAAACCCUGAUGCAGCAACGCCGCGUGGAGGAUGACGCAUUUCGGUGUGUAAACUCCUUUUAUAAGGGAAGAUAAUGACGGUACCUUAUGAAUAAGCACCGGCUAACUCCGUG
rnacentral:rRNA from 1 species